GGGCCCGUGGUCUAGCCAGGAUCAAGACGCUGGCCUGCGGAGCCGGAAGUCGUGGGUUCAAAUCCCACCGGGCCCGCCA
rnacentral:tRNA from 1 species